CUGCCUGUGUACAUAAGCUCUGAAUCUCGUAGUCAUAUCUCAGUCGAGAAAAAAGGGUUGAGACGACGGACCUGAGCAGCGCCACCUACUGAAGAACAGAAUAAAGAUGAAAUCUCCUGUGAUACUCGUGGCAGUAGCAACCUUCUUCGUUGUCCUUUCAACGAUUGCGGCAGCACCCAAAAAGCCGAGAGAUGAUGUAUACGAUGUAAAAUUGUGUUUAGAACAAUGUAUGGUGUGUUUUGAUGGAAAGGACGAAAAAUACCUCAUGCCCUGCGCAAACGAAUUCUGUAUGAUGGACUUUCUUCAAGGAAUCCCAGCAAGCCGCUUGCUGCUCUACAAAUGCCCUUCUCUGAAGAAAUUAGAAAUUGGAAUGUGGAGAAGAAAGUAAAGCAUGGGACCGUCACGGACACACAUUCAUCACUAUGCCGUCAAAUGAUGGAUUUUUGCCUUUCUCUCUUAAUUUAAUUAUUUUCUGUGUGCGAUGACAAGACGCUGAUUUCAAAUAUCAGCUGUACUUGUUCUAACUUCUCUCACGAGAGCACACAAACGCACAACAACACACAGCUGGUAGAUUCUUUCUAGCAAAAUUGAUUUUGUAACGAAACGAAUCAAGCACCUCUAGAAGGAGAUGAUGACGUCGUAUGUCUUAACAAGCACUCGAGAUGUUCGUCUGUCUGUUCGGUUUACUAUUGUCCCACCGUCCAACUGAAAUAACCUUUGAGACCUUGAAAAGCCCAAGAGCUACUGAUGAACUUUUUCUCUUGUACUGUCUCUGUCUCUAUCAUAUAUUGUUGUUAUUAUGAUAUCUUCUUUAAUCUUACCAAACCAUGCACAUGAUAUACAUGUACCCACUAUGAACUAUAUAAUUAUCAUUUAUUGCUCAGUGAGAGAGGAACGGGGCUGUAGUAAACUACCAAAGUCCUUAAAGAAAUAAAAUCUAUUUUCACAAA